AUGGUCUUCAUCUUGAAGAGGGGAUUGGCCAACAACCACAGCAUCCACUACAGUCCAUUCCUUGCAGUGCUGGGCAGUGUACAACUUUUAUGGACAUUUCACCCCAUCUGGGAACAGCUUUCUCAGGAUUCUGGUCUUCUGGUGGAGCAAGAGGACACCCACGGUGGAAGCCAAGAGAGUCAUCUUAAUGAAUGGCAUAUUACAGCCCUUGUGAAUGGAACUUGCAUUGUUUCAUAGCACAGCUGGCCAAAUUCUUGUGAUUGACGGGUCAAGUUAAAUCAGGCAUAAAAAUGAUGUAGAGUUUUUUCUUUCAGGAAACCUGUCACAAAAGCACUCUUGUCCCAACCAAGGCUCGCUUUCUGUAUGUACUCUUACAGAAAAGUUAAAUAUAUAUGAACAUGGAGCAUAUCCUGUGUAGGAGGACUCUGGAACAAAACUGAGUCAGACUUACAAAGUAAAGAGCUGUCCCAUGCCUUUACUUGUAACCAUUCAUGCGGUCUGUGUGCACAGACCCCUGAAUGUAAAACCUGGGUCAACGCCUCCAGCUGUGGCCUCUCCUCUGACAACCAUCUUAUUAAAUGCAGGAUUCAGGAACCUGGUGGAACUCGGCCACAACUGCAAAAAACAUAUUUCAGUCCCGAAGUGUCAGAGUCGGGGGGCAGAAGGGGGAGGAUGAACCAAACGCUAAAGCAAAUGAAAACAUCUUUUAAAAUGUUGCCUGUGUGCUGCCAAAUGGGAGCUCAGAGGGAGUGCCACCAGGAGCAGUUCCACAUGGCGAGGCGAGGCCUUCCGUGGAGAAGCCUGGCUGGCAGGCUGGGAGGAUUCAGUAAUUAACACUGUCAAAGUCUCAUGAGGCCCCAUUUCAGCAGCUCGAUUUGGAAGCGGUUGCCCGAGUACAGUCACCCUUCAGCAGCACAGCUGGGGUGUGGAGUCCAUCAGCAGCUGGUACAUGUGUGGCUUAAAUUUGCUGGGAAGUAGAAGGAAAUCUGUGGGGUUUCUUUUGGGUGCUUUAACCCCAUGGGGACGAGGGCUCACAGUAUCUGAGUUUUGAAUAGCCAAUUAAAUGAGGGGCUUUAAGAAUGCUGGAGCAGCCCACUGCUGGAAAUAAUAGCACUGAGAUGGCUCCAUGACAAGAUCAGAGCCAGAGAGCCACACAAGGAUACCUCAGGCUAUAGCCCUGUACAUAUGGAACAGGCUAUUGUGGGCUAACGAAACAUUGGGAAGGAUAGAUACAGUUACAACCUAUGAAAUAGACUCUGAAACAGGGUAUGGUAAGGAAGACUGAUAGCCAUCUCUUGAAGAAAAAAAUUAGUGAGUAGGAGCUGUGCUGUAAUGGAAGAAAUGUCAACUGGGUGUGGGUUUACGGGUUCAAUUCCCAAGACCGGCACUCUUAGCACUGUGAAGUUAGACAAGUUACUCAACCUUUCUCAACUCAUUUCUUUAUAUACAUGAAAUUAGGAUUAUGAAAGCUCAUAUAGAAUGUUUUUAUCAUGAAUAUAUAUGUAAACAGACACUAG
rnacentral:lncRNA from 1 species